rnacentral:rRNA from 1 species
UUGAACGCUGGCGGUAGGCUUAACACAUGCAAGUCGUGCGAGAAAGUAUCUUCGGAUAUGAGUAGAGCGGCGGACGGGUGAGUAACGCGUAGGAAUCUACCUAGUAGAAGGGGAUAGCCCGGGGAAACUCGGAUUAAUACCGUAUACCUCCUUCGGGAGAAAGAAGGCCUCUCUUUGAAGCUUUCGCUAUUAGAUGAGCCUGCGUAAGAUUAGCUUGUUGGUGAGGUAAAGGCUCACCAAGGCGACGAUCUUUAGCGGGUCUGAGAGGACGAUCCGCCACAUUGGGACUGAGACACGGCCCAGACUCCUACGGGAGGCAGCAGUGGGGAAUAUUGGACAAUGGGCGCAAGCCUGAUCCAGCCAUACCGCGUGUGUGAAGAAGGCCCUAGGGUUGUAAAGCACUUUAAGUUGGGAAGAAAAGUUAUUGGUUAAUACCCAAUAACCGUGACAUUACCAUCAGAAUAAGGACCGGCUAAUUCCGUGCCAGCAGCCGCGGUAAUACGGAAGGUCCAAGCGUUAAUCGGAAUUACUGGGCGUAAAGCGCGCGUAGGUGGUUUAUUAAGUUGGAUGUGAAAUCCCCGGGCUCAACCUGGGAACUGCAUCCAAAACUGAUUCACUAGAGUACGAUAGAGGGAGGUAGAAUUCACAGUGUAGCGGUGGAAUGCGUAGAUAUUGUGAAGAAUACCAAUGGCGAAAGCAGCCUCCUGGAUCUGUACUGACACUGAGGUGCGAAAGCGUGGGUAGCGAACAGGAUUAGAUACCCUGGUAGUCCACGCCGUAAACGAUGUCAACUAGCUGUUGGAAAACUAUGUUUUUCAGUGGCGCAGCUAACGUAGUAAGUUGACCGCCUGGGGAGUACGGCCGCAAGGCUAAAACUCAAAUGAAUUGACGGGGACCCGCACAAGCGGUGGAGCAUGUGGUUUAAUUCGAUGCAACGCGAAAAACCUUACCUAUACUUGACAUGUUCGUCGCGACUCUAAGAGAUUAGAGUUUUCGGUUCGGCCGGACGAAACACAGGUGCUGCACGGCUGUCGUCAGCUCGUGUCGUGAGAUGUUGGGUUAAGUCCCGCAACGAGCGCAACCCUCACUUUUAGUUGCCAUCAUUAAGUUGGGCACUCUGAAAGAACUGCCAGUGAUAAGCUGGAGGAAGGUGGGGAUGACGUCAAGUCCUCAUGGCCCUUACGUGUUGGGCUACACACGUGCUACAAUGGUAUCUACAACAGGAAGCAAGACUGCGAAGUUAAGCAAAUCCCUAAAAGAUACCUCAGUUCGGAUUGCACUCUGCAACUCGAGUGCAUGAAGCUGGAAUUACUAGUAAUCGUGGAUCAGCGUGCCACGGUGAAUGUGUUCCCGGGUCUUGCACUCACCGCC